UAACGCGCGAGUAACCUGCCNUCAAGAGGGGGAUAACAUUCUGAAAAGAAUGCUAAUACCGCAUGACAUAUCGGAACCACAUGGUUCUGAUAUCAAAGAUUUUAUCGCUUGAAGAUGGACUCGCGUCCGAUUAGUUAGUUGGUGAGGUAACGGCUCACCAAGACCGCGAUCGGUAGCCGGACUGAGAGGUUGAACGGCCACAUUGGGACUGAGACACGGCCCAGACUCCUACGGGAGGCAGCAGUGGGGGAUAUUGCGCAAUGGGGGCAACCCUGACGCAGCAACGCCGCGUGAAGGAUGAAGGUUUUCGGAUUGUAAACUUCUUUUAUUAAGGACGAAACUUGACGGUACUUAAUGAAUAAGCUCCGGCUAACUACGUGCCAGCAGCCGCGGUAAUACGUAGGGAGCAAGCGUUGUCCGGAUUUACUGGGUGUAAAGGGUGCGUAGGCGGCUUUGCAAGUCAGAUGUGAAAUCUAUGGGCUCAACCCAUAAACUGCAUUUGAAACUGUAGAGCUUGAGUGAAGUAGAGGCAGGCGGAAUUCCCCGUGUAGCGGUGAAAUGCGUAGAGAUGGGGAGGAACACCAGUGGCGAAGGCGGCCUGCUGGGCUUUAACUGACGCUGAGGCACGAAAGCGUGGGUAGCAAACAGGAUUAGAUACCCUGGUAGUCCACGCUGUAAACGAUGAUUACUAGGUGU
rnacentral:rRNA from 1 species